GAUGAACGCUGGCGGCGUGCCUAAUACAUGCAAGUAGAACGCUGAAGGAGGAGCUUGCUCUUCUGGAUGAGUUGCGAACGGGUGAGUAACGCGUAGGUAACCUGCCUGGUAGCGGGGGAUAACUAUUGGAAACGAUAGCUAAUACCGCAUGACAACAGUUAUUGCAUGAUAACUGUUUAAAAGGGGCAACUGCUCCACUACCAGAUGGACCUGCGUUGUAUUAGCUAGUUGGUGAGGUAACGGCUCACCAAGGCGACGAUACAUAGCCGACCUGAGAGGGUGAUCGGCCACACUGGGACUGAGACACGGCCCAGACUCCUACGGGAGGCAGCAGUAGGGAAUCUUCGGCAAUGGACGGAAGUCUGACCGAGCAACGCCGCGUGAGUGAAGAAGGGUUUCGGAUCGUAAAGCUCUGUUGUAAGAGAAGAACGAGUGUGAGAGUGGAAAGUUCACACUGUGACGGUAGCUUAACAGAAAGGGACGGCUAACUACGUG
rnacentral:rRNA from 1 species